rnacentral:rRNA from 1 species
GACGAACGCUGGCGGCGUGCUUAACACAUGCAAGUCGAACGGAAAGGCCCUGCUUUUGUGGGGUGCUCGAGUGGCGAAAGGGUGAGUAACACGUGAGUAACCUGCCCUUGACUUUGGGAUAACUUCAGGAAACUGGGGCUAAUACCGGAUAGGAGCUCCUGCUGCAUGGUGGGGGUUGGAAAGUUUCGGCGGUUGGGGAUGGACUCGCGGCUUAUCAGCUUGUUGGUGGGGUAGUGGCUUACCAAGGCUUUGACGGGUAGCCGGCCUGAGAGGGUGACCGGCCACAUUGGGACUGAGAUACGGCCCAGACUCCUACGGGAGGCAGCAGUGGGGAAUAUUGCACAAUGGGCGGGAGCCUGAUGCAGCAACGCCGCGUGCGGGAUGACGGCCUUCGGGUUGUAAACCGCUUUCGCCUGUGACGAAGCGUGAGUGACGGUAAUGGGUAAAGAAGCACCGGCUAACUACGUG